CGUCCUCGAUGGCGAGGCAGUACGCGAGGGUGUGGCCGACGGUGGUGUCGCCGCUGACGCGUUCGGCCAGUUCGAUCCCGGCUGCGGGCGU
rnacentral:tRNA from 1 species